rnacentral:lncRNA from 1 species
CUGCAGUUAGGGCCUUAGGGAAGCCAGAUUGCCACGGGUGAAACACGGGGUAGAAAGGGAGCGCAAGCAGUACCAGAACAGGCAGCUCUCCUUAUCACCAGCCCAAACACUGGUGACUUCUGUGUUCCUACUGCAUCCUGCCUGCUGCGCUCCUUUUGGUGCCUGCAAAGGAAGUUCCCUGCCCUAGGCAGAGUGGCUGAAAACCAGGAGGCAUAUGCAAUGCAGAGCUCAUUGGCAGGGAAUCGCGAAGGCAUCCUUGGAGGCAGCUGGGAGAAAAGGGAGAUUCAGCAGACCCAGAUCAGGGCUGGUGCCCUCCUACUGAUUCCCCGAAAUAUUGGAGAAAUCUGAGACAGCGUGAAAUUCGGACCACCAUACACCAUCCUGCACAGGCAAAAGAAGGCAGUGCAUGCUACAUUAAGAAUUCCUCUCUCCAGGUCCUGCUCCUGAUGUUGAGAUGCAUCAGUGACGACAGCAGAGAAGCGCAUCGUCUCAUCAAAUAUCCUUCCAGGAAGUGUGGCUUGUGUGGGAAGUUCAGCAAGUGAAUAAACAAAGCACUUUUGGUGUGAGAAGGCAUAUAAGGAAAAACUAUAGGUGCAUCGUCUUAGGAGGGUCAUGUGGGUUGGGGUGGCUCCUUGAGACAGAGUGGGUAGAGCAGAGCUUUUGGAGCCAAAGUUCGAGGAGAAAGCAUGACGCACCCGAGGACAGGGAGUUCCGAAUAGAGACAAGGGCGAAAGCCCUGGGAAGAGAUUGCACAGAAAAGGGCC